rnacentral:rRNA from 1 species
GACGAACGCUGGCGGCGUGCUUAACACAUGCAAGUCGAACGGAAAGGCCCUGCUUUUGUGGGGUGCUCGAGUGGCGAACGGGUGAGUAACACGUGAGUAACCUGCCCUUGACUUUGGGAUAACUUCAGGAAACUGGGGCUAAUACCGUAUAGGAGCUCCUGCUGCAUGGUGGGGGUUGGAAAGUUUCGGCGGUUGGGGAUGGACUCGCGGCUUAUCAGCUUGUUGGUUGGGUAGUGGCUUACCAAGGCUUUGACGGGUAGCCGGCCUGAGAGGGUGACCGGCCACAUUGGGACUGAGAUACGGCCCAGACUCCUACGGGAGGCAGCAGUGGGGAAUAUUGCACAAUGGGAGGAAGCCUGAUGCAGCAACGCCGCGUGCGGGAUGACGGCCUUCGGGUUGUAAACCGCUUUCGCCUGUGACGAAGCGUGAGUGACGGUAAUGGGUAAAGAAGCACCGGCUAACUACGUG